rfam:Trichoderma reesei QM6a unplaced genomic scaffold TRIREscaffold_18, whole genome shotgun sequence.
GCUUCCGUAGCUCAGUUGGUUAGAGCUUCGUACUAAUACUUCGGCUUCACGCCUAGUGUUGGUAAUGCGAAGGUCGCAGGUUCAAGCCCUGCCGGGAGCA